rnacentral:misc_RNA from 1 species
UCUCCGUUGGUGAACCAGCGGAGGGAUCAUUACCGAGUUUACAACUCCCAAACCCCCAUGUGAACGUUACCAAACUGUUGCCUCGGCGGGAAAUUCAUGCCCCGGGCGCGUCGCAGCCCCGGACCAAGGCGCCCGCCGGAGGACCAACCAAAACUCUUUUGUAUGUCCCUCGCGGACUUUUAUAAUUCUGAACCAUCUCGGCGCCCCUAGCGGGCGUUUCGAAAAUGAAUCAAAACUUUCAACAACGGAUCUCUUGGUUCUG